ACGAACGCUGGCGGCGUGCUUAACACAUGCCCGUCGAACGGAAAGGCCCUGCUUUUGUGGGGUGCUCGAGUGGCGAACGGGUGAGUAACACGUGAGUAACCUGCCCUUGACUUUGGGAUAACUUCAGGAAACUGGGGCUAAUACCGGAUAGGAGCUCCUGCUGCAUGGUGGGGGUUGGAAAGUUUCGGCGGUUGGGGAUGGACUCGCGGCUUAUCAGCUUGUUGGUGGGGUAGUGGCUUACCAAGGCUUUGACGGGUAGCCGGCCUGAGAGGGUGGCCGGCCACAUUGGGACUGAGAUACGGCCCAGACUCCUACGGGAGGCAGCAGUGGGGAAUAUUGCACAAUGGGCGGAAGCCUGAUGCAGCAACGCCGCGUGCGGGAUGACGGCCUUCGGGUUGUAAACCGCUUUCGCCUGUGACGAAGCGUGAGUGACGGUAAUGGGUAAAGAAGCACCGGCUAACUACGUG
rnacentral:rRNA from 1 species